rnacentral:rRNA from 1 species
AGUGAACGCUGGCGGUAGGCCUAACACAUGCAAGUCGAACGGCAGCACAGUAAGAGCUUGCUCUUACGGGUGGCGAGUGGCGGACGGGUGAGGAAUACAUCGGAAUCUACUUUUUCGUGGGGGAUAACGUAGGGAAACUUACGCUAAUACCGCAUACGACCUACGGGUGAAAGCAGGGGAUCUUCGGACCUUGCGCGAUUGAAUGAGCCGAUGUCGGAUUAGCUAGUUGGCGGGGUAAAGGCCCACCAAGGCGACGAUCCGUAGCUGGUCUGAGAGGAUGAUCAGCCACAACAGAACUUAGACACGGUCCAGACUCCUACGGGAGGCAGCAGUGGGGAAUAUUUGACAAUGGGCGCAAGCCUUAUCCCACCCUACCGCGUGGGUGGAGAAGGCCUUCGGGUUGUAAAACCCUUUUGUUGGGAAAGAAAAGCAGCAGGUUAAUACCCCGCUGUUCUGACGGUACCCAAAGAAUAAGCACCGGCUAACUUCGUG